ACUCCCCCCCUAGCCCUCAAAGUCCUACCCCUAAUCCAAUUAACUUCAUAAAUAACAAAAACAUUUUUUUCCUAAGUAUCGGCGAGAGAAAAGACAGUAGGCGCGAUAGAAACAGUACCGCAAGGGAAAGAUGAAAUAAAAAACUUACCACAAAGUACAACACAGCAAAGAUUAACUCUUUUACCUUUUGCAUUAUGGUUUAGCUAACCAUAAGCGUGGCAAAGAGGACUAAAGUCACCAACCCCGAAUCUGGACGAGCUACUAACCAGCAAGAUAAGACAGCACUAACCCGUCUCUGUGGCAAAAGAGUGGGAAGACUGGUUAGUAGAGGUGAAAAGCCUAACGAGCCCAGUGAUAGCUGGCUGCUUGGUAAUAGAAUAUAAGUUCUACUGAAAACCUUCUGACUAACCACAUCAAAGGACAAAGAAAGCUUUCAAGUUAUUUAAUGGAGGUACAGCUCCAUUAAUGCAGGACUCAACCUCUACCUAAGGGUAAACCUAGUUAAGUCAUAAAUGUAGGCCUUAAAGCAGCCACCACAACGAAAGCGUCAAAGCUCCUACCAAUAAAAAUACCAACAACAAAAUGAACCCUACAACAUAACCAAGUCUUUCUAUAAUAUUAGAAGAGAUUAUGCUAGAAUUAGUAACAAGAAAUCUGAUCUUCUCCUAAGCGCAAGCCUAUACUCCUUAUGACACACUAUUGGUAAUUAACACUUCUUCUCAAACCCACUACAAAUAUAUAGACCAACACUGUUAACCCAACACAGGCGCGCAGCAGGAAAGGCUAAACCCUGCAAAAGGAACUCGGCAAACAGAGAUUCCGACUGUUUACCAAAAACACAGCCCCCAGCUUAACCAAGUAUUGGGGGUGAUGCCUGCCCAAUGACUUAAAGUUUAAUGGCCGCGGUAUCUACAACCGUGCGAAGGUAGCGUAAUCACUUGUUCUUUAAAUAAGGACCAGUAUGAAUGGCUAAACGAGAAUCUAUCUGUCUCUUGCAGAAGGCCAGUGAAAUUGAUCUCCCUGUGCAAAAGCAGGGAUUUUAACAUUAGACGAGAAGACCCUGUGAAACUUUCAAACUCCUGAAUUAUAAUAAACUGUAAAUUUCCCCCUAAAUUAGCCCCACUAUCACUAAUACGUUGAUUCAGAGUUUUCGGUUGGGGCGACCCCAAAAUAAAAAAAACUUUACAGGAAAAUUGUGACACAACCACUGACCAAGGCCUACACCGCAAAGUGCUUAAAUGUAAUCAGAUCCGGCGCAAGCCGAUUUAUGAACCAAGCUACUCCAGGGAUAACAGCGCAAUCCCCCUCAAGAGCCCUUAUCGACAGGGGGGUUUACGACCUCGAUGUUGGAUCAGGACAUCCUAAUGGUGUAACCGCUAUUAACGGUUCGUUUGUUCAACGAUUAAAGUCCUACGUGAUCUGAGUUCAGACCGGAGAAAUCCAGGUCGGUUUCUAUCUAUGAAUGUGAACCUUUCUAGUACGAAAGGACCGAGAGAGCAAGGCCUAUGCCAGCAAAGCACGCCUUACCUAAACUUAAUGAAAAUAACUAAAUUAAUAGCCAGGACAAUCAUCUCCUUGCCAACUCAAUAUAAGAGUACAG
rnacentral:rRNA from 1 species